GUCUCUUUGUGAAAUAUAGAUAAAGAGUCGGGCCUGCUCGGUGAAUAAGUUUUUAACAGCUGCGGUAUUUUAACUGUACUAAGGUAGCAUAAUAAUUUGCCUUAUAAUUUGAGGCUAGAAUGAAUGGUUUGACGAAGGUUAAUCUGUCUCCAUCUUAUUUUUUAGAAUUUAAUUUUUAAAGUGAAAAAGCUUAAAUUUUUUAAAGGGACGAGAAGACCCUAAUGAGCUUGUAAUUUUAUUAUUGUUAUUUAAAAUAUUUAGAUAGCAAUAUAUAAAUUUUAAUUGGGGUGAUUAAGGAAUAAGUUGAAUAUAGUAACUUCCUUAAAUUGAAUAUUUAUAGAUAAAGUAACCAAUAUAAUAUUGCUUAUAAUAUAGUUACCAUAGGGAUAACAGCGUAAUUCGUUUAGAGAGUUCUUAUUGAAAAACGAGAUUGCGACCUCGAUGUUGGAUUAAAGUAACCUUAAGGUGCAGAAGCUUUAGUAAGGUAAAUCUGUUCGAUUUUUAAUACUUUACA
rnacentral:rRNA from 1 species